AUGUUUUCUAUCUAGCCUAAUAGCCCAAUAGCCCAACAAUUCUAUUUCUUCCUACAUAUAACCAAUAAAACAUUCACCAUACCUAGUAUAUGAGAUAAAAAUGUACCCUAAGAGCUAUAAUUUAGUACCGUAAGGGAAAGAUGAAAUAAAUGAAACAUUUUAAAACACAUAAAAGCAGAGAUUUCUCCUUAUACCUUUUGCAUCAUGGCCUAACAAGUCUAAUCAGGCAAAACGAAUUUUAGUCUGACUUCCCGAAACUAAGUGAGCUACUCCAGGGCUACUUUGUAAACCCGUCUCUGUUGCAAAAGAGUGGGCAGACCCUCGAGUAGAGGCGAAAAACCUACCGAACUUAGUAAUAGCUGGUUGUUUAGGAAAAGGAUUUAAGUUCUUUCUUAAAAUACCCUUAGCAAUUUACCAAGCAAACCUAAUUUUUAAGAACUAUUCAAUAAGGGUACAGCUUUAUUGAAAAAGGAGACAGCCUAAACCUUAGGAUAAUGAUUAAACGACUCCAGAAAGUAAGGCUUAGUCGGCCUAAAAGCAGCCAUCUCUAAAAGCGUCAAAGCUUCACCUCACCCAUUCCCUAAUCCCAUAAUUCUAUCAAAAUCCAUAUUUACUACUAAACUAUUCUAUAUUAUUAUAGAAGAAUUUAUGUUAGGACUAGUAACAAAGAACAACUUCUCUUAUAUAUAAGUUUAAAUCAGCUUGAAUACCUCCCUGAUAAUUAUUCAACCUUGAACCCGAAGUAACACCACCUAUUUCAAAAACCCUACUAGAAUUAUUGUUAAUCAGACAAAUGAGUAUAAAAGAAAGAUAAAAAGAUCAAGAAGGAAUUCGGCAAACACAAAUCCCGCCUGUUUACCAAAAACAUCGCCUUUUGAAAUAUAUAAAAGGUAACGCCUGCCCAAUGACACAUGUUAAACGGCCGCGGUAUCCUAACCGUGCGAAGGUAGCGUAAUCAUUUGUCUUUUAAAUGAAGACUAGUAUGAAAGGCAUCACGAGGACUUAACUGUCUCCUUAAUUCAAUCAGUGAACCUGAUCCUCCCGUGAAAAAGCGGGAAUAUAAUCAUAAGACGAAAAGACCCUGUGGAGCUUUAAACCCAAACUACUUGAACAACACCUAUUAUUAUUCGUAAUUGACAAGCCUAGCCUAAGUUUUCCGUUGGGGCGACUGUGGAGAAAAACUAACCCUCCAUGAAGAAUAAACUUUGAGUUACCACUCUAGCUAUUAGUAAACCUAACUUUAAUUGAUCCAAUCUUUGAUCAACGGACCAAGUUACCCUAGGGAUAACAGCGCCAUCCAUUUCAAGAGUCCCUAUCGACAAAUGGGUUUACGACCUCGAUGUUGGAUUAGGACAUCCUAGUGGUGUAGCCGCUACUAACGGUUCGUUUGUUCAACGAUUAAAGU
rnacentral:rRNA from 1 species